UACGGGGGGGGCAAGCGUUGUUCGGAAUUACUGGGCGUAAAGGGCUCGUAGGCGGUUUGUCGCGUCGGGAGUGAAAUCCACUGGCUUAACUGGUGGCUUGCUUUCGAUACGGGCAGACUGGAGGUAUGCAGGGGAGAACGGAAUUCCUGGUGUAGCGGUGAAAUGCGCAGAUAUCAGGAGGAACACCGGUGGCGAAGGCGGUUCUCUGGGCAUGAUCUGACGCUGAGGAGCGAAAGUGUGGGGAGCGAACAGG
rnacentral:rRNA from 1 species